UACAGAGGUGGCAAGCGUUGUUCGGAAUUACUGGGCGUAAAGGGCGCGUAGGCGGGAUGGCAAGUCGGUCGUGAAAUCCCUCGGCUCAACCGAGGAACGUCGAUCGAUACUGCUGUUCUUGAGGAUUGCAGAGGAGACUGGAAUUCCCGGUGUAGCGGUGAAAUGUGUAGAGAUCGGGAGGAACACCGGUGGCGAAGGCGGGUCUCUGGGCAAUUCCUGACGCUGAGGCGCGAAAGCGUGGGGAGCAAACAGG
rnacentral:rRNA from 1 species